GACUGUCAGUGAGUAUGUGUGUUUGUCAGCGUGUGUAUGUUAGUGUAUUUGUAUCUGAAAGUGUGUGCCUAACAUACACGCGCUGACAAACACACAUACUCACUG